GAGCACGUAGGUGGGUUUGUAAGUCAGAUGUGAAAGCCUUCUGUUCAACGGAAGAAUUGCAUCUGAAACUGCGAGUCUUGAGUGUAGGAGGGGAGAAUGGAACUUCUGGUGGAGCGGUGGAAUGCGUAGAUAUCAGAAGGAACGCCGGCGGCGAAAGCGAUUCUCUGGCCUAUUACUGACACUCAGUGUGCGAAGGCUAGGGGAGCAAACGGGAUUAGAUACCCCGGUAGUCCUAGCCGUAAACGAUGGGCACUAAGUAGAGGGGUUUU
rnacentral:rRNA from 1 species